AUUGAACGCUGGCGGCAGGCUUAACACAUGCAAGUCGAACGAGUGGCGGACGGGUGAGUAAUGUAUGGGGAUCUGCCUGAUGGAGGGGGAUAACUACUGGAAACGGUAGCUAAUACCGCAUACCAUCAGAUGAACCCAUAUGGGAUUAGCUUGUAGGUGAGGUAACGGCUCACCUAGGCGACGAUCCCUAGCUGGUCGGAGAGGAGGAUCAGCCAAACUGGUACUGGGAAUCGGCCCAGACUCCUAGGGGAGGCAGCAGUGGGGAAUAUGGCACAAGGGCGGCAAGCCUGAUGCAGCAAUGCAGCGUGUAUGAAGAAGGCCUUAGGGUUGUAAAGUACUUUCAGCGGGGAGGCGUUACCCGCAGAAGAAGCACCGGCUAACUCCGUGCCAGCAGCCGCGGUAAUAC
rnacentral:rRNA from 1 species